UACGUAGGGGGCAAGCGUUGUCCGGAUUUAUUGGGCGUAAAGAGCGUGUAGGCGGCCUGACAGGUCUGCUGUGAAAACUCGAGGCUCAACCUCGAGAUGUCGGCGGAAACCGUCUGGCUAGAGUACGGAAGAGGCGAGUGGAAUUCCUGGUGUAGCGGUGGAAUGCGCAGAUAUCAGGAGGAACACCAAUAGCGAAGGCAGCUCGCUGGGACGUUACUGACACUGAGAUGCGAAAGCGUGGGGAGCAAACAGG
rnacentral:rRNA from 1 species